GCCUCUGUGGUGUAGUUGGUUAUCACGUGAGUCUCAUAAUCUCAAGGUCGCCAGUUCGAUCCUGGCCGGGGGCA
rnacentral:tRNA from 12 species